ensembl:snRNA U6 U6 spliceosomal RNA
UGCUUGCUUCGGCAGCAAUUUACUAAAAUCAGAACAAUACAGAGAAGAUUAUCAUGGUCCCUGCGCAAGGAUGACACGCAAAUUCGUGACGCAUACCAUAUAAAA